GCUGGACUCAAAGUCCCAGAAUGCAAUGCAGCUAUACGACGCAGAGUUACGAAAGAGAUAACUUACUUCCGGUUCCUGUGACGUAGUUCCUGUUUUCGAAUCGUUUUCCGGGAGAUUCUCGCCUGUGUUUGUAUUUAAACUAAACUGUUUCUUUCUUUUAUCAGUAAUUCUUUGCUAUCGGUUUCAUCUGCUGUAUUUUCAUUUUGUCGAAGAACAUUUUUGUUGUUUUGUCUGAAGACAGUAAGCGAAGUUAAUCCACUCCGCAUCGGUGUAAAAUAAUCUCAACUAAUCUUCAGCUAAACUACACAUGCUACUCCUGAGAUGCCAGUGAUCCUGACCCCUUCUGCUCCUCCUCGCUGCCUGACCCAUCCUGAUGCCCUACUUCUGGUUGGAGUUCUCAUCGGUUGGCGUUCGCUCGCUGCUGCUGGGGCUCCAUAUGGACGGCCUGAAGAUCACUAGGAUUGCUGGGGAUGGUGCCACCUGGGGGCUGUGGAGAUGGCUUGGAGAUCUCAUAUGGGGAGCUGUAUUGUGGUGGCUUGGGACUGCGGGUGCAGAUGUUUAAACUAAAAAACUCAGAGCUUCAUUAUAAAAUAAAUCUUGGACGUUACUGAAGAUGUUAAUUAUAAACUUAUAAACUUAAUGUCUAAGCUGUUCAGGGUUGAGUUCUGCUUUUAGAGUUCUUCUAGAGAGAAGGUUCUAGAUUUGACCUCUGUAAAUGUUCACAGGUUAAAGAGCUACUUCUCAAUAAAAUGCUGAAAAUGAA